AUAUCUCUCUGUACGGGAAGGAUGAGAAGCUUCUACCAGGGUUCGAUUCGAGCGCAGCGAGAAAGCGUUGCCGCAGGCAACG
rnacentral:sRNA from 3 species